CAGUCGCCGCGGGAAUACGGAGGGUGCAAGCGUUAAUCGGAAUUACUGGGCGUAAAGCGUGCGUAGGCGGUUCGUUAAGUCUGUUGUGAAAGCCCCGGGCUCAACCUGGGAAUGGCAAUGGAUACUGGCGAGCUAGAGUGUGUCAGAGGAUGGUGGAAUUCCCGGUGUAGCGGUGAAAUGCGUAGAGAUCGGGAGGAACAUCAGUGGCGAAGGCGGCCAUCUGGGACAACACUGACGCUGAGGCACGAAAGCGUGGGGAGCAAACAGGAUUAGAUACCCGCGUAGUCCCUGUCUCUUAUAC
rnacentral:rRNA from 1 species